rnacentral:piRNA from 1 species
CACUACAGGAACUGCAAUUGGAAAGCA